rnacentral:lncRNA from 10 species
CAUAAAUCAUUUGGAUUUUUUCCGCUGGAGCAAUCUCUUUUUUUUUCUCCCAUUUAUUUAUAUCAAUAUGGACUUAUUUUAUUCUAAAGAAAUGUGUUUUAUUUUGGGGUGUUAUAAUACAAUACAUUAUUUUGUUGAUCAAAUUAUUCCACCUUUGACAAUUGGGAACCCUUUCAGUUGACUCCUGUGUCCUUUGGCAUGCCCCCAUUAUUGUAGGGUUUGGAUUUUUUUGUUUCUUGAGUUUGGGGUCUUUUGGGGAUUUUUUUUUGUACUUCUUUACUUUCUGCAACUGCAAG